rnacentral:rRNA from 1 species
GCCAGCAGCUAUAUCACCCUGCGAAUCCCAAGUGGUGAUCCACUGAAGCUCAGCAGGCGUGAGCCUGGCCAGUACCCGGAUGGGAGACUCCUGAGAAAGCUAAGGUUGCUGCUAGUG